rnacentral:rRNA from 1 species
AUUGAACGCUGGCGGCAUGCCUUACACAUGCAAGUCGAACGGCAGCAUGAUCUAGCUUGCUAGAUUGAUGGCGAGUGGCGAACGGGUGAGUAAUACAUCGGAACGUGCCCUGUAGUGGGGGAUAACUAGUCGAAAGAUUAGCUAAUACCGCAUACGACCUGAGGGUGAAAGUGGGGGACAGCAAGGCCUCAUGCUAUAGGAGCGGCCGAUGUCUGAUUAGCUAGUUGGUGAGGUAAAGGCUCACUAAGGCGACGAUGAGUAGCUGGGCUGAGGGGACGAUCAGCCACACUGGGACUGAGACACGGCCCAGACUCCUACGGGAGGCAGCAGUGGGGAAUUGUGGACAAUGGGGGCAACCCUGAUCCAGCAAUGCCGCGUGUGUGAAGAAGGCCUUCGGGUUGUAAAGCACUUUUGUCCGGAAAGAAAUCGCACUUACUAAUAUUAGGUGUGGAUGACGGUACCGGAAGAAUAAGGACCGGCUAACUACGUGCCAGCCGCCGCCGUAACAC